rnacentral:misc_RNA from 1 species
AACUCUCAACCACACAAGUUGUGUUGAACGACUUGGGUGGCUUGGAUUUGGGAUUUAUUUGCUGGCUUUUCAAGUCGGCUGUCCUGAAAUAGAUUAGCAAGGCUUCAGUUGCCAAUACUAUUGGUGUGAUAUGCAUCUACGCCAUUGGAAAGGCUUCACAGCUUAGCUUCUUAACCGUCUUUUGACAACAUUGACA